rnacentral:snoRNA from 1 species
UAGACCAAUGAUGAAAGUUUGUCAUGAACUAAGGGUUAUGAUUAAUCCAGUUUUGUUCAUUUGUCUAGA